UCCAAAGUUUUGUUCAAAAAUUAUUUUUCAUUUAAUUUUGUUAGUCUAGAACAGAAUAACUCAUGAUAGUUAGCCACGAACAGGAUCGCUAAGAGGAAUACAUUCGGCUACUGGUGGCACUUCAAUUCGAAACUACAUCUUUGAUGAAUGUUGGCAUGACGGUGCAUUUUCCUUCUAUGCAAUCGCCAGUCAAAUCCCGAAGGAAUUUUCUUACCGUGGACAAAAUCAUCCUUAAUUUCAUCUGCUCUUGGAUGUUUCCCACGUCACCAUAUAUUUUCAAAAGGCUCAGACCGAAACCAACACGAUGAAAAACGCCGGAAUUAAAGAUAGUAUCCUGAAACGCUACGCAUCGAACGAGAGUUUUCCUAGCAAUUGUACUCACAUCAACAAAACACCAGGAAAAUUGAAAAAAUGUGAGUUCCAAGAUUCCAGAUAAAAUGUUUUGUUCAACUAUUAGAGAAAAUGAAUCCACCUUGCUAAGGCCAAAUAGUUUCGACGAUUUUCAAUCUAAUGCAAGCAGAAACCCACCCAAUGAAAAUGGUAAGGUUGUGACCAAUUUAAAAAAAAAAUACAGUUAGGAACCAUUCUUGAUAUUAGGUAGUGAAUAUAAUCAAUGAUGAAUGAAAAAAACUAGGCUUAAAGUAUUUCAUAAGAUAGCUCAAGAAAGUUACAAUAUUAUUAUGUUUUAAAAUUAAAAGGCUUAUAUUCUUAUAUCGAAAAAAAAGAAAUGGAAGUAAUGAAAGAAAUAGUUAUAGGGAAAUUCAUUUUUCUCGGAUUCUGGAUACGGUAUACUGCCGUUGGACGCAUAAUUGUCACAUGUGACAUUUCGACGUUUUUGAUGCCAAUCGUCAUAAUUUGAUACGUAUUAUUGAUAUUCUUUGUCGAAACAUAAAGUUUAUUCUAGAAAUUUCAAGAAAAAUUCAAAGUCAAUCUGUCACACUGGGAUAAAUGGACGCAUAACUGUCACACUGAGACGAUUGGACGCAUAUUUGUCACACUAAAGAAAUGAACGUAUUAUAACUUCGGAACGUCUAAAUAGAUUUUCACCUAACUUGGCACACGUGUCCUAGAUAGUCGGGAGGCGAUCACGGAGAUGUGAAGAGGGGGAGGGGUCACUGUUUUCGCGGAAACCCAGCAUGUGCAAGAAAAACUCUGCAAACUGCUUCGGGUCCGUUGCUGGCACUUGGGAGAAUGCAUGUAAACGUAACCAGCUUCACAACAUUAGUCAAAUUGUUAUUCUUCCAGCGCAGUGUGACAGUUCCACCGUAUUCACCAAUUGUCCAGGAUGGCCACAUCUGAUUGACGGUAGUUUUAGACCUUUUUUUUGGUUUGCUUUGAGUUUUUGAUUUCGACACACCUAGUAAAAUACCGGAGAUGUCUGUUUCUUCUUGUUUACAAACUAUUCCGCCAGAGUUACUUCAUCCGGAACUUGUCCCAAGACCGUAUUCACUGCAAACGGAUCGAUUGUCCUCUUCUGGUGACGCUUCUUUCGCGGUUGCGACGUUUUCAGCACGGCAGCUGACAUUAGUUGAAGAAAUGUUGCUUCUUGUAAAGUGAUUGAGCUGCCGCAAAUUGCUCCCCCGUGCCGUUUUAUUGAUCGAACCCGUUAAAAACUUCAUGUUUGGCACCAGAGAGUGUAAAUUUUCAAAUAAUCCGAUUCAGACCUGAUUUUUUUUUUAAAUUUAAGCUUCCAUUCACAAAUAAAACACAAGAGCCACACACGAUAUGCCAAACCUAACAACUACUGGGAAAAUGUUCGUGGUGUGACAAAUAUGCGUCCAUUUUUCGACUUUUCAUAGAAUUUCGCGGCAUAAAUGUCACACAACGAUUUUCAUUGAAAGUUCAGUUCAUUUUCGAAAAAUUUGAUCGAGGCUCAUAUGAUAGGAGUAUACUUUAGAGAUCCACGGCAUUGAAGUCAACAAAAAUUGCAAAACUGUGCGUUCACAGCAAAGUGUUUUUGUGAUACUUUAAUCGCGUUUUUCUCGCUUUGCCUUUUUGUGACAUGUGACAAUUAUGCUUCCAACGGCAGUAUAGUUCCACGAAAACCAUAUGUUUC